rnacentral:rRNA from 1 species
AGUGAACGCUGGCGGUAGGCCUAACACAUGCAAGUCGAACGGCAGCACAGUAAGAGCUUGCUCUUACGGGUGGCGAGUGGCGGACGGGUGAGGAAUACAUCGGAAUCUACUUUUUCGUGGGGGAUAACGUAGGGAAACUUACGCUAAUACCGCAUACGACCUACGGGUGAAAGCAGGGGAUCUUCGGACCUUGCGCGAUUGAAUGAGCCGAUGUCGGAUUAGCUAGUUGGCGGGGUAAAGGCCCACCAAGGCCACGAUCCGUAGCUGGUCUGAGAGGAUGAGCAGCCGCACUGGAACUGAAACACGGUCCAGACUCCUACGGGAGGCAGCAGUGGGGAAUAUUAGACAAUGGGCGCAAGCCUGAUCCAGCCAUACCGCGUGGGUGAAGAAGGCCUUCGGGUUGUAAAGCCCUUUUGUUGGGAAAGAAAAGCAGCAGGUUAAUACCCCGCUGUUCUGACGGUACCCAAAGAAUAAGCACCGGCUAACUUCGUG